rnacentral:lncRNA from 12 species
CAUAUUUUGAUGUGUUCUUAUUUGUUUUUUGCCUGCUUUCUAGGUAACCCUUAACUGUGGCAUUUAGAACACCUGGAUGCAAUUAUCACCGGUGUCAAUCUACAUAUGCAGAGGAAAGAAACAAUUUUCAUCCUUCCUGGAAUUUGUAUAAUUAGUCCACAGUAAUUAUUUAAAAAAAAAAUUCGAUGCUGAAAGUCUUUUCUCCCCUACAUUUUUAUGUUGACACUAUUGUAAGAGCAUCAUUACUGGUAUUUAGGAUGCGAAUAAUUGAACAAAGUUCUGUAUACUUAAGAGAUGGUCAGCAUAACCUCUUGGUAUCUUCUAAGGCCAUUCUGUUUUGAGUGGGUAUCCAUCUACUCCAGCUCUUGGCUGCAAAACCACAGGAAAGAGUGAGAGAGGCCACCGUGCUCACGGCUGUCAGCAGGACGGGAUUCUGUCCUCUGGAAGUACAAAGCGAUCACCUAAGAUACUCCGUUUAUUGGCUGGAAAACUGAAGCCCAAUCAGACAGCUGGUGUGAAGACAGGUUUAGCCUGAGUGUGAAGGCACAGGAGAGGUUUGCCUCAGUGGAGGGCAAUCGCGCCGAGGCCUCUAAAGUCCAUGGCAACAGGAAUUCUGCCACUCCGGCUCCUGGUUUCUCAGGCCUGUCCCUGCUGGGAGAGGCCUCCUCGGUCUUCCACCUGCGUGGGCCUAUCUGGUUAACCACCCAAGGCACAGCCCGUCUUCUGAAACAAAGAGCGCCAGCCAGCUGCCUCUGCUCUCCCUCGGCCUUGGAGGAAGCGCUGUGACAAAGCCCGCAGGACGC